GCGGACGUAGCCAAGUGGAUCAAGGCAAUGGAU
rnacentral:tRNA from 11 species